GCCGAAGUGGCGAAAUUGGCAGACGCACUGUCUUCAGGAGGCAGCGAGCGUAAGCUUGUGCGGGUUCGAGUCCCGCCUUCGGCACCA
rnacentral:tRNA from 1 species